rnacentral:lncRNA from 1 species
UAGAGGUAGGUGUGUGAGGGUGACCAAAAGUCUUCCCAGGUCUGUGGGCAGCAAGUCUGAAGUUUGGUGUGAGUACCUGGAGUGGUGGCCUUGCUGUUCUGUGCCCUGGAGAAGGCUGUGGGUGGAUCUUGUAUUAGUUACUAUUUGCCAUUGAACAGGUUACCCCAAAACUUAGAAGCUAAGGAAGGAGGAGUAUUUCUCAGUUUCUGAGGGCCCACAGUCAGGAGCAGCUCAGCAGAACAAUUCCUGAUGAGCUCCCCACAGGGCUGUGGUCCUCUGGGGCUCAGCUGGACUGGAGUUCUGCCUGCACUGCUAGCAGGAGGCCUCCACUCCUCAGCAUGGGCCUCAACAGCAUGACAGACUGCCAGAGUGAGGCAGGUCCUCUGAGACCAGAGCUUGGUCUCAGACACAACUGCUGUCCCUUCUGCUGUUUUGUGCUGGUCCUAUUG